UACGUAGGGUGCAAGCGUUAAUCGGAAUUACUGGGCGUAAAGCGUGCGCAGGCGGCUAUGCAAGACAGAUGUGAAAUCCCCGGGCUCAACCUGGGAACUGCAUUUGUGACUGCAUGGCUAGAGUACGGUAGAGGGGGAUGGAAUUCCGCGUGUAGCAGUGAAAUGCGUAGAUAUGCGGAGGAACACCGAUGGCGGAAGGCAAUCCCCUGGACCUGUACUGACGCUCAUGCACG
rnacentral:rRNA from 1 species